UACGUAGGGUGCAAGCGUUGUCCGGAAUUAUUGGGCGUAAAGAGCUCGUAGGCGGUUUGUCGCGUCUGCUGUGAAAACCCGAGGCUCAACCUCGGGCCUGCAGUGGGUACGGGCAGACUAGAGUGCGGUAGGGGAGAUUGGAAUUCCUGGUGUAGCGGUGAAAUGCGCAGAUAUCAGGAGGAACACCAAUGGCGAAGGCAGCUCACUGGGACGGUACUGACGCUGAGACGCGAAAGCGUGGGGAGCAAACAGG
rnacentral:rRNA from 1 species